rnacentral:rRNA from 1 species
UUGAACGCUGGCGGCAGGCCUAACGCCUGCAAGUCGAACGGUAACAGGAAGAAGCUUGCUUCUUUGCUGACGAGUGGCGGACGGGUGAGUAAUGUCUGGGAAACUGCCUGAUGGAGGGGGAUAACUACUGGAAACGGUAGCUAAUACCGCAUAACGUCGCAAGACCAAAGAGGGGGACCUUCGGGCCUCUUGCCAUCGGAUGUGCCCAGAUGGGAUUAGCUAGUAGGUGGGGUAACGGCUCACCUAGGCGACGAUCCCUAGCUGGUCUGAGAGGAUGACCAGCCACACUGGAACUGAGACACGGUCCAGACUCCUACGGGAGGCAGCAGUGGGGAAUAUUGCACAAAGGGCGCAAGCCUGAUGCAGCCAUGCCGCGUGUAUGAAGAAGGCCUUCGGGUUGUAAAGUACUUUCAGCGGGGAGGAAGGGAGUAAAGUUAAUACCUUUACUCAUUGACGUUACCCGCAGAAGAAGCACCGGCUAACUCCGUG